GACGAACGCUGGCGGCGUGCUUAACACAUGCAAGUCGAGCGAGUGGAUUCCCUUCGGGGAUGAAGCUAGCGGCGGACGGGUGAGUAACACGUGGGCAACCUGCCUUAUAGAGGGGGAUAGCCUUCCGAAAGGAAGAUUAAUACCGCAUAACAUCAGAUUAUCGCAUGGUAGACUGAUCAAAGGAGCAAUCCGCUAUAAGAUGGGCCCGCGUCGCAUUAGCUAGUUGGUGAGGUAACGGCUCACCAAGGCGACGAUGCGUAGCCGAUCUGAGAGGGUGAUCGGCCACAUUGGGACUGAGACACGGCCCAGACUCCUACGGGAGGCAGCAGUGGGGAAUAUUGCACAAUGGGGGAAACCCUGAUGCAGCAACGCCGCGUGAGUGAUGAAGGCCUUCGGGUUGUAAAGCUCUUUGAUCAGGGACGAUAAUGACGGUACCUGAAGAACAAGCCACGGCUAACUACGUGCCAGCAGCCGCCGUAAUAC
rnacentral:rRNA from 1 species